rnacentral:rRNA from 1 species
UACAGAGGUCUCGAGCGUUGUUCGGAUUCAUUGGGCGCAAAGGGCGCGUAGGCGGCAAGGCAAGUCGGGUGUGAAAGCUUGGGGCUUAACCCCGAAAGGGCACUCGAAACUGCCCUGCUAGAGGGCCGGAGAGGAGAUCGGAAUUCACGGUGUAGCAGUGAAAUGCGUAGAGCUCGUGAGGAAGACCGGUGGCGAAGGCGGAUCUCUGGACGGCCCCUGACGCUGAGGCGCGAAGGCUAGGGGAGCAAACGGG